GACAGAGGGUGCGAACGUUGUUCGGAAUUACUGGGCGUAAAGCGCAUGUAGGCGGCAGCGCAAGUCGGGCGUGAAAUCCCACGGCUCAACCGUGGAAGUGCACUCGAAACUGCGCAGCUAGAGUCCUGGAGAGGAAGGUGGAAUGCUUGGUGUAGAGGUGAAAUUCGUAGAUAUCAAGCGGAACACCGGUGGCGAAGGCGGCCUUCUGGACAGUGACUGACGGCUGAGAUGCGAAAGCGUGGGGAGCCAAACAGGG
rnacentral:rRNA from 1 species